GGAGGGAGCUUUCUCCAAGUAUUUGCUCACAGAUCGUUUUGUGAUGAUUCAACAUAGUUGAUGUAAAAUCUGGCUGACUUGAACCAGGUGUGAGCCAGCCUGGUGUGGGUACUACAAUAUAUCUGAAAGUGAUAUUUAAUACCAAUUUAUUUGGUCAGGAGGGGCGGGGAGAGGCAGGAGGAAUGAGCACAGAGCAGUGACUUGUUUAUCUUCCACAGCCACGAGUGGCACACGGGAAGGCUGCAGGCAGGGCUCGAUGCCCGGCCUUCCAGCAUCGCCCCUCCAGCCACAAAGCCAGUGGUGAGCCAGGUCAGGGACCUGAUCCAAGCUAUGACAGCAGCGCAGGGGGUCUCUGCUCUGAGCGCACCCAACCUGCACUGACUGCUGGCUGCUGUAUUCAAAACCUCCAAGGCUGCUGCGGGGAAAGUGCCAGAAUAAACAUCUCCGCUUCCUCCAGAGAUGCAAAAGACUGAGAUGCAUUUAGGUCUACCAGGAGCAUCACCGGGGUGUGCAGGGCUCUGGAUUUCACACCCAGAGCCAUCCUUCCCUGCAGUGAGACACCGGGGCAGACAGGCAGUGCUCAUCCCUUGCAGGAGCUGGGAUUGCACAAAU